UCAUCAACGUUACUGACGUAAAACGUCUGAUCAGUUCUCACGGCCUACACGAAUUUUUUUAACAAAAUGUCUGUGCAAGGGGUCAAGCAAUUUGAGUUUUUAAAGUUAUAACGCCUUUGAUGGAGACGAAACGUCAGCACUGUGUACCGCAAGCGUAUUCUUGAGGAGAAACUUUGUACGACGCCAAAUUCUGAGAUUCACCUUGUCUGAAUGUAUCCUGAGAAGACCGAUAGGUGCCUUUGUGGAUGCAGAGAGGGCAGACAGCUCGGGGAGCAGAAGAUUUACUCCUGCGGCCGGUGGAAGAAUGCGAAUGCAGUGGGAAACUAUGAGAGCAUUUCCUCAAAGCCGCGGCUGCUGAUAAAUCUGCUCCCACGUGACACUUCGGUAUUUCUCACAGGUCCUGGAGCCCCGGUGUAACCCUUUGCGCGUAUGGUUCAACGUUGAUCAGCUGAAGAUAAAUCACCAACUACCUCCAGAGGGCCAGAAACCAUGGGAUGGGAAGUCAGUUUUCUCUGUUCGAAUCAGAAGAAUCCAAGACAGACAAACUCUGCUGUCUCUCACUCUGGCAUAAGAGAAAUGUAGAUGAUAUGGGAAGAACUCUUGAGUACCUACAGAGAAAAGGAACAGUCAGAAAUAGCAGUGCUAUUAAUUUUUAUGUGAAAGCCUUCACCCCAGACUAUGCUGCAGCCUUGAGCGCCUCUUUGAAUUUUGAGACGACUCGCAGCUACAGGACAACUGCUGGAAUGGGAGCAACCGUUUCAUAUUUUCUGGAACAUUGGCACUGGAGCCUCUCAAGGAACGAUUCGGUGAGAAUGGAACAUGAUUGGCAAAACCCUGAAGCCAAAAAACCAGGGAGCCAAUCUGUUUUGUUGCUUUCACACCUGUUUGUGUUGUAACAGGAGCCAUGUAUGUGUUUAGGGUGUGGAGUAACAAGGCUGACAUGUAUCAGAAAGGCAUGAGAAGGGUUGUGGGGGUGGGGGGUAGGAAAACAAGUGUGGACAGUGGAACAUGCAACUGAAACGGGAGUUUGGCGGUUUGGCAUAGGCAAACAGACACGGGUCUUGCUGACAGGAGGAAGCCACAUUCCCUGUAAAUAAGCUUUUGAUGGGAUGAAAGAGCCAUGUGAUCUCAUGAGGAUGACCCGUGAUCCCACCGCUGUUUUUCCAGAGGGGUCUGAUCCUCAGCUUUUUAUCUGCAUGGGUUCUGGCGAGGGGGUGGGGGGCAGGGGUGGCCAGAUGAGCUUGCCACCCCCCCCGCUCCUGCCCCCCCUCUCCUCCAAUGUUUUGGUUGCGAGGAAAGCCAGGACUCUCGCAGCGAGGCGCGACCUGUCAUCACAAUGACCUUUGACCCCCCCACCCACCAGUCGCCUGAGCCAAGGGCUCCUGUGGAGAGGGCCGCUGGAGUCCAGUCCUCCCCCAGACAGAAAGGUGGGGGCUCAGAGGCACACCGGAGGUCAAAGGGCAGGGAGUGGCAACGUGUGCACAUUUUCAGAAAGUCAACCCUUUUCUUUCCUCCACAUCACUUGUUUUACCAAACAGUCCUCUUUUUGGGUUUUCCAUUUCAAAACCGCACAAGGCUUGUCCUCUGGAAUUGAGUCAUUGUAGUCUACUAUGAUUUCCCACAAAAAAAGGUCUGUCUGAGAUUCAGUAUAAACACACACUGUGUGUCCAGGCAAUGCAGUAUUAGCCUGUGCUGAAGGGCAGGGCGAAGGCUUAAUGACUGCGCACCACUCGCCAGCUUCAGAAAGGUCAGACGCCUCCCUUCGUCUGCUGCCUGUGCCAUGCUGCUCCCUUAAUCCUGUUGUCUAUCUUAACUCUGUUUCUCCAUGUGUUUAGGUGUCUUCCUUAUUUCCUAUUUAUUUCCUACUUUCCUACUUAUUUCCUUGGUGUCUGUCAGUGGAUUCACUCUAUUUCGGUAUUGUUUGCUGCUGACAGGCAAGUACUUUCUUUCCUAAGAAUAAAUACAAUUAAAAAGGAGCUUGGACAAAAUCUAACUUUGUGCCGAGGAAUGGCAUCAUAGGAUGUAGUGCACUUGAAAUAUCUUCAGUGUCCUGACGUCAGUAUGAGAAAAGCUGCCACAGGUGGCACACUGUGAUGACCAUAAGGCAUAAUCAUUCUGUUCUUCUGUGUACACACUGUCAGCUAUAGGUCACUCUGUGAUAAUAUUCAUACUCACACAAGCCCUCGCACUCACUAACACAUAUACGCACACAAUCACUUACAGUAAUCUUUUCCUACUACCAACUAAGCUGGAAUUAGAAUAACUGUCAUUCUACUUUGUAUGAAACACUUCAUUUCCCAAAGUAUGUGUAUGCCUGAAUCUCACACCCAUGUGUAUUUGUUGAACAUCUCAUUCCAAAACCAUGGGCAUUAAUAUGGAGUUGGACCCCCCUUUGCUGCUGUAACAGCCUCCACUCUUCUGGGAAGGCUUUAUACUAGAUGUUGGAGCAUUGCUGCAGGGAUUUGUUUCCAUUCAGCCCGAAGAGCAUUAGUGAGGUCGGGCACUGAUUGGGCGAUUAGGCCUGGCUUGCAGUUGGAAUUUCAAUUCGUCCCAAAGGUGUUUGAUGGGUAUAGGUUAGGGCUAUGUGCAGGCCAGUCAAAUUCUUCUCCACCAAAUCAAAAUUUGUCCAUCAGACUGCCAGACAGUGAUUCAUCACUCCAGAGAAUGUUGUUUCCACUGCUCCAGAGUCCAGUGGUGGUGUGCUUUACACCACUCUAGUUGACACUUGGCAUUCCACAUGGUGAUCUUAGGCUUGUGUGUGGCUGCUCAGCCAUGGAAACCUGUUUCAUAAAGCUCUUGACAACCAGUUCCUGUGCUGAUGGUGUUUCCAGACCUAGUUUGGAAUUCUGUAGUGAGUGUUGCAACCGAGGACAGAUGAUUUUUACGUGCUACACGAUUCAGCACUUGGCGGUCCUGUUCUGUGAGCUUAUGUGGCCUACCGCUUUUCCGCAGAGCUGUCGUUGCUUCUACACGUUUCCACUUCGCAGUAACAGUCCUUACAGUUGACCGGGGCAGCUCUAGCAGGGCAGAAAUUUGCCAUGUUGAAAGUCAUUGACCUCCAGUACAACCCAUUCUAAUGUUUGUCAAUGGAGACUGCAUGGCUGUAUGCUUGAUUUUAUGCACCUGUUAGCAAUGUGGCUGAAAUAGCCAAAACAGCUUAUUGGAAGGGGUAUCCACAUACAUUUGGAAAUGUAGCAUAUCUGUAUCAUCUGACACUUACCUUUUCCAUGUGUGGUGGC